UGGGGAAUAUUGCGCAAUGGGCGAAAGCCUGACGCAGCGACGCCGCGUGAGGGAUGAAGGCCUUCGGGUUGUAAACCUCUUUCAGCGCCGAAGAAGCGAAAGUGACGGUAGGCGCAGAAGAAGCACCGGCUAACUACGUGCCAGCAGCCGCGGUAAUACGUAGGGUGCAAGCGUUGUCCGGAAUUAUUGGGCGUAAAGAGCUCGUAGGCGGUUUGUCGCGUCUGCUGUGAAAACUCGGGGCUUAACCCCGGGCCUGCAGUGGGUACGGGCAGACUAGAGUGCGGUAGGGGAGACUGGAAUUCCUGGUGUAGCGGUGAAAUGCGCAGAUAUCAGGAGGAACACCGGUGGCGAAGGCGGGUCUCUGGGCCGUAACUGACGCUGAGGAGCGAAAGCGUGGGGAGCGAACA
rnacentral:rRNA from 1 species